CCCGUAACCAAAUAUCUUUGGUAAAAGAAAAAAAAAUAUCUGAAAAAUAAAACCGCUUUCUCACAUGGCACCUUGGACCACUAUAAGCUAAAUAUAUCUUUUUAUGCUGGUCUGUUUAAUUGCAACACUAUCUAUAAAAAUAAAAGUCAGUCAAGCCCCGUUUUUGCUAAUUCUAGUAUUUUACACUAUAUUGCAAUAUUUGCACAUAAUACUACGAGAUGCUAUACAAGGUUCUCAAGUGUAUUACUAUUGGUGUAUUCUACAUGUUAU